rnacentral:rRNA from 1 species
UACGUAGGGUGCAAGCGUUAUCCGGAAUUAUUGGGCGUAAAGAGCUCGUAGGCGGUUUGUCACGUCUGCUGUGAAAACUGGAGGCUCAACCUCCAGCCUGCAGUGGGUACGGGCAGACUAGAGUGCGGUAGGGGAGAUUGGAAUUCCUGGUGUAGCGGUGGAAUGCGCAGAUAUCAGGAGGAACACCGAUGGCGAAGGCAGAUCUCUGGGCCGUAACUGACGCUGAGAAGCGAAAGCAUGGGGAGCGAACAGG